rnacentral:rRNA from 1 species
UYGUAACAAGGUUUCCGUAGGUGAACCUGCGGAAGGAUCAUUG